CUAAUAAAAGUUAUUUUGACAGAUCCUGUCUCUCAAAAGUCUUCCAUCUCUGUUGGCCUGUAGAGUCUGUAGAUGUUCCUCUGGGCCAUCGUCCUCAAUACAAGGAGGAUGGCUCUCUCCUCUUAUAGUGGUAAUAUUGUGAAGCACAACACAAGCCACUAUAAUGUCGCAUGCCCUCUCUGGACUAACCCGGAGCCCACGCAGACACUGAAACCGAGAUUUGAGGAUCCCUAUAGUCAUCUCCACCUUGGCCCGUGUUCGGCUGUGAGCCAGGUUAAAGCGUGUCUGUGGUCCAGGCUCAGGUUCAGGUUCAGGGUGUCAUUAAAUAGGGCAGACAAGGGUAUCCUCUGUCCCCCAGCAAGUAACCAUGUGUACUGUCUUGUAACGAUUGAAGUGUACAGUUGUUUAUAAGACUGGAUGAAAUAUAAGGACACUGUAAUCAGAACAAACUGGGCUAUAAUAUGUAAGCAACAUGUUUGUACAUGAUUGAGUUUCUUCAGAAAGCAAGGUCAGGUAAAUGACUGAGGUUAAUGAAUUACAAGAAAGAAUGUGAGGAUAAAAAAUAUUUUCUUAUUUAUAGUUUAUUUAGAAAAUGUUUAGCUAUCACACAAAUGAGAGUCACUUGAGAGUACACUGUAACAAAAAAACCUGUAAAAAUACGGCGAAAUUUUGCACAGCAAUUUACCGUUCUUCAUUUAUACAGUUGAAUACUGUAAAUUGCGAAGCAUGUCACGUGAUGCAAACUAUUGUUCAGUUUCACAAGAUGAUGCAGUAUUUUUUGGUCUAGUCACACGUACGCCAUUGAGUGUCCUCACACACAGGAAGAAAACCUUUUAGCAUCAGUUUUAACAUCAGAUCGCCAUCAUUUUAUUAGGUGUAAAGUGAGCAGAAUGAACUGGACGCUCUUUUAUCCUCGUUGGUUUAUCAAAGUAAGUGAUCAAAAUUUGUUUUAUUCUGUUUAUAUGUUCAAAUCACAUUACUAAUAGCAACUUUUUUUAUUAUUAUUACUUCUGUGUCUACUUGAUAGGACGGCAAACAAAUCAGCAAAGAGCAAUAGCCUAACGUUAAAGUUAUAGGUGGCUUGACAUGUUGCGACAUUAAAUUAAAUGUACUUGUGACGGUUCUUGAAUUUUUGAGGGACUGGGCUAUAUUUAAAAAUUGUUUUAGGGUUUUUUGAGAAGUUAAUUAAAGUUAAGGCUACAUGGUUUACAUAAUACUUCGAUCCAUUUGAGAGCAGAAAAUUAUAACUUGCAACUUUUGUUUUAAGACCUGCAGCAACAUAUUUGCAAAUGUCUACAUACAUAAAAAAAGUCUACAUUCAUUCUUGUUGAUUUUAUUGUCCUAUGUUUCAGAAAGUCUUUGCUCUUUAGCCCACUGCCUUCAUCUUCUCACUCAAGCCAACAUGGCAAAUAAACGGCAGGAAUAGGACUAAUACUCAGAGCUGAUCAGAUGAAGGCAUCUGGACUCCUGACCUUCUUGCCAGUCCACGACUGAAACUGCUGGACGCUUCAUUGGUGUGAACCCUAAAAGGGGAACAAAAGAGAACCAAAGUAGUGUCCAAGAAGAUAGGGAAGCUUGUGCAGAAAGAAAAGCAGCAACUGUGAAUCCUCAGGUGGCCGCUCUCAUCAAAAACUUCACGGACUUUGAGUGGGGCUUUAUCUAGUCAGGUUAAAUAACGUUACAGUUCUGCAGGUAGAUCUGCAAAGUAAGUAUAGAUUACAUAGCCAUGUUAUGUUUGUGAUGUCACUGCAUUGUAU